UAUUUCGUAUAUAUAUGUUUAUAGGUUUAUUCGUAUCAACAAAUCUGUGUACGAGUUAAUAACGCACCCUGGGUUCCCUGCAUUUUCAGUGACAGAGAACCAGAUAUAAGAAUGCAGGGAAACAAGCCUUGUUACAAGGUUUGAGGGUCUCUGCUAGAAUCAUGUGGACCCCAGUGUAACACAUCUAUGGAAAGAGAGAAAAUCUCAGCUCAAGGGUCAACAUGUCUUUAUUCCAAGAAAGAGUGUACAUAUGCCAGAAUCAUAUGGACCGCAGACUGGCCCUGGUGAUUCCGUUAAGAAAAAAGAGGAAAAAUCAGUGCUUGUGCUCAUUGGUCAUUGGACAAAGGGUGUAUGCCAGAAUUUUUUGAAGAACAGUCUGAAUCUGACAUGAAAAAAAUGAAGAAAAACAGCCUUCCUGUUUAUAAAUCUACAUUCUGACAAAGGAUCAUUUCCUUGAGAUAGGUGGAACCAACAGUCAAAUCCAGACACCUUUAAGAAAAGUAAAAAUCUGACUCAGGUAAGAAAGAAAUUCAGUUCUUAAAUUGCCCUCAGAGUUCUUGGAUUGCAUCAAACUGCUAAAAGACCUCAACAAAAACAGUGUCUUGAAAAAAAAAUGAAAAUAUUCAGUGAAAAAAAAAUUAUGAGAGAAAAAGCCACUAAAAAUCUUCAAGCCUUUGAGCUGAAAUCUGGAAGUCAAUCUGUGGACUUUACUGGUAUGUCUUACUAAUUAAGUCAUCAUUUGUGUAUAAUAAAUGCACUAAACUGUAAACACUUGUUAAAAUGUAUAUAAUUUUUAGAUAUAAUUUGUAGCUCACAGACAUCAAUAGUUUCAUGUAAUUUAAGUGAUAAUGAAAAUUUCCUGUUGUCUGGCUAGAUUAGAAACUAUAUAUUAUUGUCCAAUUUUGGAUAUUGUGAAAUAAUUCAUUUAGUAAAAUUGGGUAUGCAUACAUGUGUGUACACUUACAUGUAAAUUAAUUGUUAUAGCAAAUUUAAUCUAUCAUUAAGUUGAAUGUUGACUAAUGUUUUUCAUCAAAAUUGUUUACAUUGAAUUGUUUGUGGA